ACUUAUCCUAUUUCAAAGUAAGCUGUUCUGUGAUAUAUUUCUCUCGUGACGUGAAAUAACAGCACAAAGUUCAAGGGGAUAAAACGCGUGCUUGUCAAUAGGCUCGAUGUAACGGACAGCUGUUCAUUUCAUCAUUGUGACGACACACAGACAGUCUGAUCGAUACGGAGUUCCGGGGAGUCAUCUGCAAUCUGAAUUCGGAAUCAGAUAUUAUCGAUAGCUGACUCGGAGAAGAAUGAUUGGUGUGAGAAGCUGACCCAUCGAUUCAGCUGACCAGAUGGAUCACAACACUGCAUUUAACAUACUGAGCAGUAUUCCAAAUGUCCAAAGGAUUUUGAUUUCAAACAGCGAUGGAGAAAUUUUAAAAUCGUCGGAGAGCUGGGAGGAACCCCCUAGCGCCGUGAAAGCAAUAACAGAUGUUGUUUUCAAUACACAAAACAUGUCCAUGUUUAAACUCGCAUUACGUUGUGGUAUAUUCGCAUGCGUAAAAGGAUGUAUUUCCGUCCUGGGACAGGACCACGAAUCAGGACGGAUAUUGGUGAUUUAUGACUAUAGGGACUUCCUUGUGACCCUUGUAGGAGCCGAAGAUCCUGGAAAAUCCUACUUAAAACAAGUCAAGCACGCGCUUGGAAUCAAUAUAAAUAACGACAAUGGAAACCUUGGGGCUGGAUUGCUAGUAGAUAAUCGAUAUCGAGGCUAGUUUCCGUGUUAUGGUUUCCAUGGAAACGGGUAUUGUAACUGAUCGCGGAAAUCUAUAAACGGCCCGUGCUCAUUGUAACUGUGUUCAAUAGAGUGGAUCAAACUUCACGUCGAAAAAUCAAUGACUCUUAACAAUUCAGAACUUUCAUUGAUUUUAUUAAAGUUUGGGUUGGCAAGAUUCAACAUCAUAUACAUUAUACGAUGAUUCAUAUACAAUUCAUUAUUUUUAUAUUUUACCUGCUAGUUUACAUAGAUUUAUGCUCAAAAUUGUGAACAGUAUUUGUAUGUACCAUGGGAAUAUUUUUGAACAAUUAGAUUUUUUUUUUUUUUUUUUUGUAAUAAAUUCAUUCGUCAGUCACAAAACAAUGCAAUUGCCCGUCACAAAUUGUCAUAAUUGCCUUCUGACACGUCGUUAUAUAAUGAUGUCAUUCUUUUUUUAAAUUGGAAGACAAACGACAGCAUGUGUUGUGUGGUACAGUGGCAAUGUGCUUGCUAUGUACACAUGGCCAUAAACCGGAAUUAUAAAUGAGAUGUGAAUUUUGUGAAAUCGGAAACACAUUGAACAGCUGUCUCGGCGAGGCGAUAUUUCCAAAUGAUUUUAAUUCCAGAUAUAUGUGACAAAGGAGAUCAGGUUUCAUAAACUAGCUCUGAUGAUAUAAUCUUUACAAGGUGCUAUAUUUCUGAUAAAUUGUAAGUAUAUAGGUGAUUAAAAAGAAGGAUUUUUAUACAAAACUGAUAAAUAAAGGUGAAGCAUACACACUUUGUUUUUUCACAAUAUUGUUAUUGUUUAUUCCUAUCCAAAAUAGAAAACGUUUUCAAAAUGUAGAAUCAGUUCAAAUUUUAAAGAUAUUUCUCGCUUUCAUUUCUUUGUGUUAUUUACAUAUACCGGGUAUUACUAGGCCUAUACCACGUGUGCAAUGUUUUACGCAUUUUUGUUACAAUUAGUGUAUUUUUAGCAAGAAGCGGCUUACCAAAUUUGGAUUCGAUUUUUUUCAAUUGCUUAUUUUUGACAUCGGGAACCGUCGGUACUUUCCGUUACCGAAAAUAAUUCUACGGAAACACCCGAAGUUUUCUUAUUGUGAACACGCUAAGCUAUACGACGUGUUAUAUGGUAGAUGACGAUAUCCAGUCAUAACACUUCAUUGUAACGGUAGUGCAGUAAAAUUCUAAGGAGUUUUAAUUAUUUAUAAAAACAAUAAAGAAGUAAAAGUGAGACUUCAGUUCUUCAAAAGACCGAGUAAAAGGGAAAACUAUUAAUAUGAUUUUAUGAGCUUUUAAAGACGUGGAUAUACGAUUGAUUGCAUAACCCGGAUAAAUAGUUAUUAACUGAGCCAUUUUGAGUUAAAUGUCAGUUUUAAUGUUUUAUUUUGCAAUUUAGAAAGAUAUCUAAAAAAGAAAAGUACUGUAUUUGGCGGAGAUCGCAUGCAAUCCCAGUGAAAAGAGUAUACAGUUUGUAAAUACAUGUAGUAACACCAAAGGAACAUCGCAGAUUCAUAGUCACCGGCCUCAAUGUAUGUACGUAUUUACGAUCAAAUUAAUGAUGUAGUUUUGCAAAAAGUUAUGUUGUUAAAACAAAGGUUUUUGUGUACAUUAUCUGAUCGUUAAGAUAGCCAAUUUUUGGCAAAUUAACGUACGCAUUAAAAAUACGGGGCUUCCUCGUUAUCAUAAACGCUGAACCACUGUUACAUACAAUUGGCCAUUGUUAUAUACAGCUUAGUACACACGAUACACAAAGCAAAUAACACAAUAGGAUAUAUGUAUUGUAUGUAUGUGAGUAUUUAACGGUGUGUUACACAACGCUAUAUUUAACUUGCAAUAACCACUUAUCGUUGUACGUAAUUAGAAAAAAAAAAUCUAAUUCAAAAUUGUCUGGCAUAGAAAUGUAUCAAUAUGUUGAUCAUUAAAAGGAUAGAUUGUAAA